AACUAGCAAAAACACAACCACAGGUUAUGCCCGUGCUGUGCGUCUAGCAGCAAAGACAAGCAGUGUGGGCUUUUGGAUGAAUCUACACUUCUCGUCGGGGGAGAAAGGGAUUCCUGUGGAGCUGUAUUUACUUUACAUCCAUGUGAACUGCUGUCAUCACUACUGUGUCCAAGCCCAGAGGAUGAACUGGAAAAGAAGAAAGGGGGAAAAUAAUAAAAAGAGGAAAUUGGUUUUCACAACACACUCAAAGCCUGAGUAACAGAGGAGAACUUUAAUUAUCUCCAGUCACAAAGAGAGACAGGAAAUUUGGACUUUUAAUUAGCCAUUUGGAGUGCAGGAACCGUCUGUUCAUCAAGGCAAACUUGUGAAUUGCUUCUUCCACAGAGUACUUAGUCUGCCCCGAAACACACGCCUCAAUAUCUUCUGAAUUCAGAUGGCUCUGUAAGAAGAGGUGAAGGCUGCUAUCUGAAAGCAAAAGUGCAUUCUGUAGGACUCUAUAUAUAAAAAAAAGGAAGAAUAAUUGGUGAACAGGAUGGUCAAUGAUAGGGCAGAAGAAAGAAAAAUCAUUAGAAAUGUACCACUGAAGUUAAUUUCUCUACUGUGGUAAACUUUGCAUCAAUUAUGGGCUCUGCCCAUUAAGGGGAAGAAAGCAUAUGUUAACUUUUAUUCAAUUAUUUGGAAAUUUAGGUGGGUGAAAAAAUGCAGCUAAUAGUUAAGAACAUCUGUUAAAAGAAUAACUUCAAGGACAUUUCUUCAAUUUAACCAUCUGUUAUUACCAUGUGGAUUAAUUAUGGAAAUAUUUUGCUUAUAUAGUCAUAGAAAUUUAUUCUACUUUAAAAAAAAAUUUACUGCCAACAGCAUGUCAAUUCAGUGAUCUUUAUGGGAUAGGCUGUCAUGAAACAUCAAAACUUUCAACUACUAUUAAAAAUUAUAUGAAGAGGUUGAUACAUUUCUUAGCAUAGUUUAUAUUUUAAAACUUUACAAAUAUAGUUAUAUAUUUAAGUGCAUGUUUACAACAGCUCAUGAGAGAGAUGGCUUUUUUUAAUACUUAAGGUUGACUAGAAAUUUAUCCAAAAUCUUUGGCAGCACUAAAUCACUGUGUUGUCAAAAUGAGCAACCAAAUAAAAUUGAUCCCAGCCAAUUUUACCAUAUACAUAAUUAAAAUAUGAUAAUUUAGUAAUGAGUACAUGUUGCUCUUCCCACAUUCAAGAUCAAAGUUUACAAAGAACAGAUUUCAACUAGGGCAUCAGAACUACAUGGAAAAUUUAAAGCUAUUCUGUAGUUUUUAAUUUAAAAUCUAUAGAUGCUCAAAUUCUUAUCAUCGGUGAAUUUGUUUUCUCUGAAUUCACAUCUUAGAAUAUGAAAUCAAAUCAAAGUACACCUUUAUAUUUAAAUAAAAACUGGUUUAUCUUUUUAGCAAAGAUGUUGACAUAUGAUAAUUUAGUCUCUACUAACAGUUCAAUAAUUACAUAAGAGGAGACACUAAGACCAGAUAUAGGGGACAAAACUAAAACACUAAAACCCAAGUAUAAUUUUGACCAACAAAAGAUUUUUCCAAUAUAAUGAUCUAUGAAAAAUAGAUCAUGUAUUUCAGACCAAAUGAACCUUACCUUAUAUUCUGCUUUUUAAAAUAAGUAAUAAGGAAAGUAAAUCUCUUUUGGCCAUUAAUAUUGAUUUAGUGAAAAUCUUAAGGUCAUUAGAAUACCAAGUCCUUUUCUACAAAAUAAAACAAUUAUUUCUUAAAGAAGGCAAAAAUGCCUAAAAAUGCACAGUAUUAAAACCAAAACCUAGCUGUCCCUUUUCUUCAGCAGGUUUACAGUUUGAGAGAAUAUUCUUUACUGGUCUAUUAAAAGGAAAAGGAAAACUUUUGUGCUUUUUAAAAGGCAAAACCUCAAGCAAAGCAGCUAAAUCCUUCCUUUUCCUUCUGUGUCCUCGGCCCUGGGUCCUCCCAGAAGAUGACCAUGUCACAUGAUAAUGAUGAAUUUACCAAGUACAAGUAGCUAAGUAGUAAAUCCCUUUUACUAGUCUUUGAGAUUUAUUUUCUACAUUUACAAAUGUUUACCAUUCUUGUUUUAAAUGCUUCAGAUUAAGAGAAGAGUUAUAGAGCAACAGCCAUUAAUAUGAACAUGGAUCGUGAAGUCCGUGAAGUCUGAGGAGUGUUUCCUGUGGCCGCUGUCAGCAGUUUCCUGCCUGCCCUAAGUACAAGGAACUUUUCCUAGGAUUGUACUCGCUGCUUUGUUUCUGUUGGAAAUGUGUUUUAUUUUCUUUAUAAAAUAAUGGGUAAUCUUUAAAAUUGAUUUUAGAUGGUUUGAGGCAUUACUCCACAAAAGUAAUGAGCACUAAUGCCAAUGAUAUUGGACACAAAUUCAUUUUAGCUUUAUUUCAUGUCUGAAGCAAUUCUACUGAGCCUUGAACCGCUCACGUACUGUUAUUAACUUGCUAGUAACUUAACACAUAGGUACAGCAAACAAAAGUGAUCAUAGUCCAGGUUGAUCAGGACCUCAAGGCUACUGUCCUUUUUCUUGAGCUAUAAUUCAAUUUCCAAUUUUACUGUACGUUAGACUCAUUAUUUCCAAGUUUUCUUUUCUGCUCAAUACUGCCAUCUGGAGGACACACAGAUGAAAAGAGAAAGGGCCAGGCCCACCCAGCUCACAAUUAGAAAGAGGGAGACGGAUGUGGCUGGGGAAGGAACAUCUGAAGCCCCCUAGACCUACAGUUCAAACCAGUGAGUGGCCUAGGCACAGUUUUGGUUUUUGGAAUCCCCUCUGUUUCUCUGUCUAAAUUCAUGCCACCAUACUCCAAGAGUAUGAGUUAUAAAUAAGCAAAAAUAAUUUUGAAUGUCUUUAUAUGCUUUUAAUUUUAUAGUCAGAUAGUUCAUUCUGAAAUUUAAAAUGAAAACAUUUGAGAGUGUUUUCCCAUCUGGUUAGGUGAGCAUAAUUAAUUUAUUUUGAGUACUAUUUGGCUUACUAUCAGAGAGGGCUAUGACUGCCACCAUCAUACUAUUAAAUCCUAUUUUUUCUUAGUCAUGUUUGUGCCAUAUUUUCCACAGACAAAUGUAAUAGCAGAAAAUCAAUUUCAAACUUAAUAUAAAUAGUACUCUGUAAAACAGUCAACAAAACGUCAUUUGUAGGAACCUCCAUUUAAAAAGUACAUGAUUUUCAGACCUUUAUAAAAGGAAUAAAAAAUAGCCUAUAGAAUUUUAAAAGAACUUCUAAAAAGAUAUUUAUGGUGCAGAUCAGAAGUUAUUCCUUUCCCUACAACAAUUUCAGACUAAACAAAGCAAAAUCUGUUUUUUCCUUGAAUUGGAACCAGUUGAAAAUCAGUUUUCUUCAAUGCGAUUUUAUUAGAUGUAUUGUAUGCUGGUUUAGCUGAGAACAAUAUAUAGCUAUACAAAAUCAUUUCACCCUAACUAAGGAUGUCCUGGAUCUACUGAACUCAAUACAGCGAUAUAUAUAUACAUCUGUAUAGUACAUGGAAGGUUAGCAGUCUGAUGUAGAAAAAAAAAUUGACUCAGCUUGUUUAGCUCUUAAUAUAAGAAAAAAUAAAACCUACAAAUCUUCAUUGAAGACAUUCAUGAUCUGUGCUAUGGUGCCCUCUAUUGAACACAAAGACAUAAAAAUCGUGUGUGUGUAAAACUAGUUUCACGUUUCAACAGUAGCCUUUUGUAAAAAAAAAAAAAA